AUCAUGAAUUUAUUAUUUACACGGUGGUUAGGGACACAAGGACAACCUCUGCCUUAUGUGUAGCAGAGCCAAUCAGUGUUUGCGCCCUUCACAACCCUUGACAUGAGAUGUACAUACUUGAGAAACGUGCCUUUUGGAGUUCCCGUUGUGGUACAGUGGUGAAUGAACCCAACUAGCAUCCAUGAGGACGCAGAUUCGAUCCCUGGCCUUGUUCAGUGGGUUAAGGAUCUGGCAUUGCCGUGAGCUGUGCUGUAGGUCACAGACACGGCUUAGAUCCCACAUUGCUGUGGCUGUGGCGUAGGCUGGCAGCUACAGCUCCAAAAUUGGACCCCUAGCCUGGGAAUCUCCAUAUGCUGAGGUACAGCCUUAAAAAGACAAAAAAGUAAAUAAAUAAAUAAAUAAAUAAAUAAAAUCGCUGGAGUUGGUAGGAAGAUGGAACAGCAGCUGAACUGCAGAUUAGAAAUACAAUAUCACUUAUAUGUGAAAUCUAAAAUAUAGCGCAAUGAACCUAUCUACAAAACAGACUCACAGACAGAGAACAGAUUGGUGGUUGCCAAGGGGAAGAGAGUGGGAUGGAGGAGUUUGGGGUUAUAGAUGGGUAAGUGAUAAGGUCCUGCUGUACAGCACAGGGAACUAUAUCCAGUCACUUGUGAUAGAACAUGACCUAUACCCUAAUAAAAAAUAAAUUAAAGAGAAAUGAUACAGUGAAACAGACGAGUGAAGGGUGCAGUCCCCCACAUUGGAGCAUAACGCCUUCUUGGAUUCCUCCCGUGACUACUAUGGGGUCACCCUGGAUAAUCACAGGUGGCUCUCAGAGGCCGUGUGACAGUUGUUGUCUUCAUCAGGAGGCUUUGGUGGUGGGCAGCCACGUUGGAGAAUCCCUGUACUCAGACUCCAUCACCUGUUAGUAUUUUUAAUCUUCAUCCCUGUUGAAGAUGCUGGUGGGUCAUUCUUGGGACAGGAAAUGUAUUCCCCAUAUAGGCAGCUUUGUUAGAAAAUUCUACCAGCAAGAUGAGCCUUUCACUUACAGAUUAAUUAUACCGACUUUUUUUUUUUCUCUCACUACACCUUCUACUUAUUGGAAUCAUAAAGUCCAGGACAGAUCAUAAGGUCCAAUCAUAAAAUUGUCCUUUACCAGGACAAUUCGUCAUCACACAUAUGAAGCCGGAUCUCAUGGCCUUCUUGAAAUUUCCAUUCUCCAGGUUAAACAAUCUGCACUUCUCCUUGUUCUCUUCUGUGUUUCGCCCAGGACCUUUAUUCACUCCCUUUGGUCAUUACCUCAGUGUAUAAUUACAUGUCGAUUAGUGUGCAUUUAUUUGAUUAGCAUGGGAGUUGGCCAUGCUGCUUAUCCAAUAUUUCUGGCUCUUGGCCUUUCCAGCAUGAGGCAGGACUACAGUUUCUUCCCGGGUGUUGAGUAGAAUGGUGAGACUAGUUUUGGCCAGUGAUGUGUGCAUGGAAAUGAUAUCUGUCAUUCCCAAGCCAAGGCAUGUAGCUGCCAAAAAGAGAUCUUACAGGGCUUCCUUUUCCCCCAGUAGAGAGACCCUGAAGUUCUAGAUGAGGGUUGCUCUGUCCACCUAGGUCCUGGAUGAAGGAAAGAAGAGCCCCAGCCAACAAUUCCUGAUAAUCAUGCAGCCUGAAUGAAAAAGAAGACUUUGUAGUUUGAGGUCACUGAGGUUGUAGAUUUGUUAUCUCUCUUGAUUGAUACAAUUGUAUCUGGGUUUAUGCUAAGAAUUAUGCAGCGUGGAAUCUUUAGUAUCUAGCAUAGUACUGGCUCAGAGGAGGCACUGAUACUUAAGGGUCACCUGUAUGAAUAAAUCAAACCUGAGUUUUGAAUCCCACCUCUAUCCUUGUACCUUCCCCGACUUGGGUUACUUUAUUAUUCCUCUUCUAAAAUAUAGAACCCUCUACCUGCCAUUAACCAAACCCAGCCUCCCAGUUUCAAAAGAAUUAAGUCGUUUUCAUAUACAUCCCCAAAUGAGAAAAGAACACAAGCCAGGCUCCGCUGGUUAUAGGCAGAGAUGAAUGAGGGUACAUUUGACUUAACUUUGAACAUUUCCAUUAGAAGCUUCUUGCUUCUGCUGAAGAUCAGGAGAGAGUCUGUCUGGUCAUCACUGAUAAACUUCUGCUGUAUCCUUAUGUAGCCACAUGAUGCCAUUUUGGCAUCACUCAUACUUUUCGCUUGCUGCUGUUUUUAAUCUUUCUAGAAUGGACCUUCUAAAAUGAUCACUCUUUUUGUAAAUUAACAACCUAGCCUUCAUGCCCUCUUGUCCUGAGGGAGGCUGCUAGGUGGUGCUGAUGAGACCCUCUCACCAAUAAAUCCUUAUUGGCAGAAACCAUGAGAUUUUAAACUAACCUAAGAACUAAAAGGAAGAAAAGGUCAAGACUUAUUAGAUGGGAAAAAUAAUAUUGCAAAUGUGGGCACAUGCCCAGGCUCUGUUUGUUGACUGAUAAGUACCAGACCAUACACUAAGUAAUUUGGUUGCAUAACUUUUAUCCCCAUGGCCACCCAACCAACUUGAGUUUUUCGUCCCUCAUCUCAUAUAAAGAAACUGAGGCCCAGAGCGGUUACUUACGUUGGUCGGGAUGAAUCGGACUUGAAUCCAGGUCUAACUCGUGUUCAUUCUUUCUGUUCAGAAUAGCUUAGUAAACUUUGACAAAAGCCCACCAAUUUUUAGAACUAAAGUUUUAUUUUUUAAAAAGAAAAUAAUGAGGGGUUCCCAUCAUGGCUCAGCGGUAAUGAACCCAACCAAUACCCAUGAGGAUACGGGUUCGAUCCCUGGCCCUGUUCAGUGGGUUAAGGAUCCAGCAUUGCUGUGGUGUAGGUCGCAGACAUGGCUCGGAUCCCGCAUUGCUCUGGCUGCAAGGUAGGCAGGCAGCUAGCUACAGCUCCGAUUCGACACCUAGACUCAGAACUUCCAUAUGUCAAGGGUGCAGCCCUAAA
ensembl:lncRNA